rnacentral:rRNA from 1 species
GACGAAGGGGGCUAGCGUUGUUCGGAAUCACUGGGCGUAAAGCGAGUGUAGGCGGUUGUCCAAGUUGGAUGUGAAAGCCUUGAGCUCAACUCAAGAAAUGCAUUCAGGACUGGGCGGCUAGAGGACCGGAGAGGAUAGUGGAAUUCCCAGUGUAGUGGUGAAAUGCGUAGAGAUUGGGAAGAACACCAGUGGCGAAGGCGGCUAUCUGGACGGUUUCUGACGCUAAGACUCGAAAGCGUGGGGAGCAAACGGG